rnacentral:rRNA from 1 species
GGCCUUCGGGUUGUAAAGCCCUUUCGGCAGGGAAGAAAUCGGCGGGGCGAAUAACCCUGCUGGAUGACGGUACCUGCAGAAGAAGCACCGGCUAACUACGUGCCAGCAGCCGCGGUAAUACGUAGGGUGCGAGCGUUAAUCGGAUUUACUGGGCGUAAAGCGUGCGCAGGCGGCCCGUUAAGACAGGUGUGAAAUCCCUGGGCUCAACCUAGGAAUUGCGCUUGUGACUGGCGGGCUCGAGUACGGUAGAGGGGGGUGGAAUUCCUGGUGUAGCAGUGAAAUGCGUAGAGAUCAGGAGGAACACCGAUGGCGAAGGCAGCCCCCUGGGCCUGUACUGACGCUCAUGCACGAAAGCGUGGGGAGCAAACAGGAUUAGAUACCCUGGUAGUCC